rnacentral:rRNA from 1 species
GUGGGGAAUAUUGGACAAUGGGGGGAACCCUGAUCCAGCCAUGCCGCGUGUGUGAAGAAGGCCUUUUGGUUGUAAAGCACUUUAAGCGAGGAGGAGGCUACCGAGAUUAAUACUCUUGGAUAGUGGACGUUACUCGCAGAAUAAGCACCGGCUAACUCUGUGCCAGCAGCCGCGGUAAUACAGAGGGUGCGAGCGUUAAUCGGAUUUACUGGGCGUAAAGCGUGCGUAGGCGGCUUUUUAAGUCGGAUGUGAAAUCCCCGAGCUUAACUUGGGAAUUGCAUUCGAUACUGGGAAGCUAGAGUAUGGGAGAGGAUGGUAGAAUUCCAGGUGUAGCGGUGAAAUGCGUAGAGAUCUGGAGGAAUACCGAUGGCGAAGGCAGCCAUCUGGCCUAAUACUGACGCUGAGGUACGAAAGCAUGGGGAGCAAACAGGAUUAGAAACCCUUGUAGUCC